CUCUGUGUGACCUUCGCUGAUAUUAGAGUCGGGGAGGUUAUUAAGGCAGCCUUCUACCCUGGUCUAGACCCAGGGCGGCCUUAAUUUUAUGCGUUGAAGCGCAACCUUUGACCCCUUCUCACCAGUACAUCGGUCAACACAGGAAACAGUAAGAGUGGUGCAGAAACCUGUUGUUUCUAUUCAAAAGGUCACUCACUCUUCAACAACACAUAAACUUCACACGCGGUACUAUAAUCCUAUUUUAAUUGACACGUUCUUCAUUUUCAUUCACUCGUGAGAGUGAGAUCCCUUUAUUUUCAUUCACUCGUAAGAGUGAGAUCCCUUUAUUUUCAUUCACUCGUGAGAGUGAGAUCCCUUUAUUUUCAUUCACUCGUGAGAGUGAGAUCCCUUUAUUUUCAUUCACUCGUAAGAGUGAGAUCCCUUUAUUUUCAUUCACUCGUGAGAUGAGAUCCCUGACCUCCAGUCCUUAAAGGACGAGUCUUUUAAGAACCGUGUCAAUCUAAAAACCGAUUUUAGCCGCAAUGUGUUCUUGAGUGUUUAUAUUCACCUGGUUCGGAUGAAAAUGCCGGUCAGAGAGAAUCCUCCUCGCUCCCUGGGAUCGUGGACCUCUUGCUAAAAACGCUGGCCAACGGCGAAUUCACGUAGUUGGUCUUUACUGUUUCACUAGAAACAGGCUGUCAUGACAGACUUUGCAGCGUGGGUUCACGAAUCCAGGAAACGACGAGGUCACUCUGUUGGCUCGAAGGACCAAAUAAAUGUAAGGAGUAAAUAUUUAAACAAGACAUUCUUCAGGCGAAAUAAAGACACUCAAGACAGUUUAGAUGGUAACAACGUGCGCACGCUGGGUGAGCGCUGCUGUCUCAGGCUCACCACCAGCGUAUGUGGCAGUUCUUUAUUUAUAGCGUUUCAGAGUAUGUGUGUGUGUGUGUGAAGUUUAUGAUCUCAGAGUGUGUGUGUGUGAUUCUGAAGAAUGGGCCCCUCUUUGUAUUUGGGAGUGUAUAGAUAAGAACGUCCUGCUCUCCCCUUCCUGGGAGUGAAACGGCUCGUAGAGAACCAGGUGCAGAGGAAAUAUACUGGGUGAAUCAUAUCUGAGAACACUAUGCUUUUGUCUUUCAUUUAAGCUUCACUUCAGCGAAACAGUAAAACCAUAAAAUACGAUUAAAUGGAAAGAAUAAAUGGGUAAACAACUAUUAACACUAAAAUUAAAGAUAAACUUUCAAUAACGUACAAAUGGCAGUGGGAAUAAUACUUGAAACAUUUGAAAAUCUCUUAACA
ensembl:lncRNA